UGCUUUCGGUGAAUGCCCUACACCUUUGCAUAUUUUUCACUACACCCAGGCUCUGAUGUAGCACGUCGUAAGUAGAGGACACCCCAACUUUUAUAUCAUAGGAAUCCAUAUAAUGAGGUGUGACAAAAUUUUACGCUGGUUGUGUCACCUACUGCAAGCCCCCUCCUUUAUCCGAGUUUGGAACCGACUAAGCAUAAACUACUUAGGCGGA
rnacentral:misc_RNA from 1 species